rnacentral:lncRNA from 1 species
AGGUGGUUUGUUAUAGCAACAGAAAACAGAUUAAGAUAGCCAUCAGGGAUAAUUUUAGAUAUUCUCCUAGGGAUUUUGUUUGUGUUGAAGAAACAACUUUACUGGGGAAAGAUUUUUAUAUUUGAGAUAAUUUAAAAAAUACAUUAACAUGGGGUCAUAGAAGUUAAUGCUUUGUUUAUUGGCCCAUAAAUAUAGUUCUGUUGGCUUAUUUGUCACUUUUAAAGAACUUUCUGAAUGGUUCCCACAGGUAAUUUUCCAUCAUUUUUAUGUGAUACUCAUUUUCCUGUCCUGCCUAUAAUAUUGACAAUUUCAAAAUAGUCCCCCAGCACCCAGUAUUUGGUGAUACUGAAUUUUCACUUAACUGCUAAUACAGGAGGAAAGAAAAGAAGGACAUCAGAGAGAAACUGAGGAACAGGAAGGCAAUUUCAGUCAAACAUGGGAAAGGCAUUCUGCAGCAUUUGGCCACUCUCAGUGAUUCCCGAAGCUCUGCUGGCAUACUCUCAAGAGUCAACAGAUUUCCACCAUAUACUGAAUCUGACGCAAAACUGAUGCUUCAUGAAGAACAUUGCCGCUGCAAGAGUGUGAUCUGUAGACGAGCAGUCUCCAAGCCAUCUAUGAUGCAGACCCUCAGCUACUAUCCAGACCUACUGAUCAUAGCCUGGUGGAGACUAUGUCAUGAAGGUUCCCAAAACUGUGUAAGAUUAGAGGCAGUGCCAGGAGCACCUGUGCAACUUGGAGGACAAUUUUUCCCCCCUCUUCAUGCUUACUUUUUCCUUGGCCUCUCUGGGGUUUAUGUCAGCUUCCACCACUCUGAACUACAGAAUUACCCAGGCAUACACUGCUCUUGUUCUUUUCAAAAUCUUCCCCAAACAGGGAGAUGACCUUGGGUCCUUUACUCGAAGCUCAAUUCACUGGAUAAAAGCAAAACAAAUGAUAACAACAAAGUGCACCAAAAGCUGGGGCGUGUCUGAGACGGAGGAUUUAAAACAAGCCGAGAGCCGUGGUUCAGAGCCCUGUUCUUGCUGCACGCCUGUAGAUGCCUUGAGUCAAGAUCCCACAAACUAAAGUUUGCUCCUACUUCCCUUUUGGGAUGCUUGCUCUCCAUCCCCUCCAGGCUGGUGGAAUGGUCCAGGAAUCUCCAGCAGCCUGCUUUCUCUCCUGGCCUCCUAGCCUUGCUAUUUCCUGGAGAGUGACUCACAAUGUAUUCAUGGUCACCACCAUCCCCUGAAGCAAAGAGGUGGCUCUCCAGGGUGAGAGGCUCUCCCAGGCUCCACCUACUUUCGAAGAUGACUAAUAACAGGUAUCCACCACACCCCUGUCAUCUUCAAACAGAACACUGCCUCUAGCCAACUCACAGAACCCUGUCUAUUAGGCCCGUCUAACAAGUCCUUGUGGUCAUCAGCAAACAGGAGUCAUUUCUCAGUCUCUACUAGGCUGAAGGUUAUUGGGUGGAGGACAAAGACUACUGGGUGACAGAAAGUGAGGAUGAUUAAGGGGGAGGGCCACUUACAUUACUAAGCACUGGUAAAUGGUAUUUCAUGAGAUGCACUAUCUUGAGGAGCAGAAAGGCACUCGCUUCUUAGUUGUGUCCCUUAUUGGCUAUUGUUUGACAACUGAAUAAACCCCAGUUGGUUGAUUUUAUUCAUAAAAAUGUUAUUCACACAUUUUUUUC